CCCUUCGUUUACACCGAAGGAAGAACAAAAACUGAAUCAAAUGGGAAUAACUAAAAACACAGAAGGGAGGUGGUAUCUAGCUGACGGGAGAGAGGUACUGCCUAAGUCAAUAGCAUCUCAGGUGCUGACCCAGUUGCACGAACGGACCCACUGGGGAAGCCAAGCUUUAAUAGAUCAUUUUGCCACUAAGCCAUUUUCUAGAGUCCAAAUUGACUUUACCGAAUUUCCUAAAGUAGGAAGAUAUAAAUAUGUAUUAGUCAUAAUAGACCACCUCACACAUUAUGUAGAGGCAUUCCCCACAACUAAAGCAACAGCUCAGGUAGUAACAAAAAUAUUACUCGAACAAAUCAUCCCUAGGUAUGGGG